rnacentral:rRNA from 1 species
AUGGCGGCUGCGGCGGUGGCCUCCAACGGGGGCGCGGCGCCCGUGCCCGGGCGCCUCGCGUCCGUCUACAGCGAGGUGCAGACGAGCCGCAUCGCGCACGCGCUGCCCCUCCCCUCCGUCCUCCGCUCCCACUUCACCCUCGCCGACGGGCCCGCCAGCACCGCCGCGGGGAGCCCCGAUGAGAUCGCCAAGCUGUUCCCCUGCCUGUACGGCCAGCCGUCGGCCGCCGUGGUGCAGUCCGCCGAGCCGGUCGAGACGAAGCCGCUCAAGAUCGGCGUCGUGCUCUCCGGUGGCCAGGCGCCAGGCGGGCACAAUGUGAUCUGCGGCAUCUUUGAUUACCUGCAGGAGCGUGCCAAAGGCAGCACCAUGUAUGGAUUCAAGGGAGGCCCAGCUGGUGUCAUGAAGGGCAAGUACGUUGAGCUGACUACUGAUUUCGUGUACCCCUACAGAAACCAGGGCGGAUUUGAUAUGAUCUGCAGUGGAAGGGACAAGAUUGAAACACCAGAGCAGUUCCAGCAAGCUGAAGACACAGUCAACAGACUUGAUUUGGAUGGACUUGUUGUCAUCGGUGGUGAUGAUUCAAACACUAACGCAUGCCUCCUUGGUGAAUACUUCAGGGGAAGGAACUUGAAGACUCGCGUUAUUGGUUGCCCAAAGACUAUUGAUGGAGAUCUGAAAUGCAAGGAGGUCCCAACAAGCUUUGGAUUUGACACUGCUUGCAAGAUAUACUCCGAAAUGAUUGGCAAUGUCAUGACUGAUGCACGGUCAACAGGCAAAUACUACCACUUUGUGAGGCUUAUGGGUCGUGCUGCUUCUCACAUUACACUAGAGUGUGCUCUACAGACACACCCUAAUGUUGCACUCAUCGGUGAAGAGGUUGCUGAGAAGAAGGAAACACUCAAGAAUGUCACAGACUACAUUACCGAUGUUGUUUGCAAACGUGCAGAACUUGGUUACAACUAUGGAGUUGUCCUAAUACCCGAAGGCUUGAUUGAUUUCAUCCCAGAGAUUCAAAAACUCAUUGCAGAAUUAAAUGAAAUUUUGGCACAUGAUGUUGUUGACGAGGCAGGGGCUUGGAAAAGCAAGCUUGAACCAGCAUCUAGGGAGUUGUUUGACUUCUUGCCCAAAACCAUUCAGGAGCAGCUUUUGCUUGAAAGAGAUCCCCAUGGCAAUGUUCAGGUUGCAAAAAUUGAAACUGAGAAAAUGCUUAUUGCCAUGGUUGAAACUGAAUUGGAGAAGAGAAGAGCGGCGGGGAAGUACUCUGCACAUUUCAGAGGCCAGUCUCACUUCUUCGGAUAUGAAGGAAGAUGCGGCCUCCCUACCAAUUUUGAUUCCAGCUAUUGCUAUGCAUUAGGCUAUGGUGCUGGUGCUCUUCUCCAAUUUGGAAAGACAGGACUUAUUUCGUCGGUUGGUAACCUGGCUGCUCCUGUGGAAGAAUGGACUGUUGGAGGAACUGCACUGACUGCGUUGAUGGAUGUUGAGAGAAGGCAUGGCAAGAACAAGCCAGUGAUCAAGAAGGCUAUGGUGGAACUUGAUGCUGCGCCAUUUAAGAAGUUUGCCUCGCUGCGAGAUGAAUGGGCCAGCAAGAACCGAUACAUCAGCCCUGGUCCCAUCCAGUUCAGCGGCCCUGGAAGCGAUGCGUCGAACCACACCUUGAUGUUGGAGCUUGGCGCUGAGAUAUAG